rnacentral:rRNA from 1 species
GUGAGGAAUAUUGGUCAAUGGGCGAGAGCCUGAACCAGCCAAGUCGCGUGAGGGAUGACGGUCCUACGGAUUGUAAACCUCUUUUGUCGGGGAACAACAGGGGGCACGCGUGCCUUUGUGAGUGUACCCGAAGAAAAAGCAUCGGCUAACUCCGUGCCAGCAGCCGCGGUAAUACGGAGGAUGCGAGCGUUAUCCGGAUUUAUUGGGUUUAAAGGGUGCGUAGGCGGCGCGUCAAGCCGGUGGUAAAAUUGCGGGGCUCAACCCCGUAGAGCCAUCGGAACUGGCGUGCUUGAGUGGAGAAGAAGUAUGCGGAAUGCGAGGUGUAGCGGUGAAAUGCAUAGAUAUCGCGCAGAACUCCGAUUGCGAAGGCAGCGUACUAUUCUCCAACUGACGCUGAGGCACGAAAGCGUGGGGAUCGAACAGGAUUAGAAACCCCUGUAGUCC